rnacentral:rRNA from 1 species
CAGACUGCAGGCUGCAACUCGCCUGCACGAAGUCGGAAUUGCUAGUAAUCGUAGGUCAGCAUACUACGGUGAAUGCGUUCCCGGGCCUUGUACACACCGCCCGUCAAACCAUGAGAGUUGGCAACACCCGAAGUCGGUAGUCUAACCGCAAGGAGGACGCCGCCGAAGGUGGGGUUGAUGAUUAGGGUUAAGUCGUAACAAGGUAUC